rnacentral:lncRNA from 1 species
AGUCAGCGAUUGAUGUCGGGCUCUGCAGAUCGGGCAAGUUAGGAACUAAUGCUUCCUCCAGUCGCCAACUGGAGCCAGUUCCUUUCAGUCAAAUUACAAAGUUGCGCAAAGUAUAACAUACAUCAACUUAAUUAAACAGAAGACAGAUAAGACGUUUAGAGCCUUGUCGGUGACAUGGACGCCGCUGUUGGCUUGGAACAGCUAUUUGCUGUGCAUAGGGACGUGCUCGCGUUAGCCGUGUUGCAACAGCUCAGGAUGGAUUUCAGCCAGCAACAGCCGCAAGAGCUGCAGCACAACCACCGGGAAUGUCUUCAGUUGGGCACGUGUAGUUUUGGUCGGCGGGGUCGAGCAUCGUACGCAUUGCACACAGAAACCAAGGUGCAGCGUCUUUGUAACAUCGCUAACAUAUCCGGUACGCGGUGGCAGGCUUGCCGAGCACGAAAUGAAGGGGGGUCGCAUCUCACCAUUCAACUAAGCAUGCAUGUGCUCGGUUGAAUGCUCGGUAGCGUGCGAGUUUACCCCUAUCAGGAUGUUUGUUUGCAUAUCCCUCCAAGCGAGAGGGCUUGGACCUAUGCUGAUGUUCGUUCCAAAAAGUGAACUGAGGACUGAUGCUACGGUGAAAGGUAUGCACGUAAAUUUGCCCGUGCGCCAAACGCCCUGUAACUCGCUUAUGCUAAUCUCACAUUCCAAUAUGCCACUGCACUUUCCUCUCCAGCCUGGCCACAUUCUCUUCCUCGCAAACGUACUUGGGCACCUUACAAUCCAGCACCAUACGUGCUUUGGAAAUGCGGGCAGCUGCUUCACAAGAACCACCCUAUUUAAGCAGCCUCUCGCACAAAUGUGUCCGGUCGUACGAUGUCGCCCCCCAAAAGUCAGGAGCGAAUUUUACCGCGCAGAUGCGCGCGUGCGAUUCUCAAAAUGCGCCUGUACAAGUGUAUAUAAAUUUUCUUGGCGGAAAAGGACCAGGUGCGCCAGCGCUUUGCGCAGGUGGGCAUGUUGGCCAUAGCCGCACGCGGCAUGCAGGCUGGACUAUUGCGUGGAUGCUUUGCAGUAACUAAAAGCACCGAAAGCCAACGUCGUAUCUUGCAACUCUGGGCUCGUGAAACUGCCGCGGAAGAUGAAGCGCUGGCGAAGAAGCAGUUGUGUGUAAGCCAUAAGGCACCUGCUUUCGGUAGCGCAGCGCAUAAUGCACAUUGUUCCGACUAAACUCAAGUUACACUCUUACGAAAUAAAUAAUAACAAACGCAGAAUUAGGUAAAGAUAAGAAUCGCGAAAGUCGUUCAGAACCUUGCAAGUAAAAUGGAUGCCGCUGUUGGCUUGGAACAGCUAUUUGCUGUGCAUAGGGACGUGCCCGCGUUAGCCGUGUUGCAACAGCUCAGGAUGGAUUUCAGCCAGCAACAGCCUCAAGAGCUGCUGCACAACCACCGGGAUUGUCUUCAGUUGGGUCGAGCAUCGUACGCAUUGUGCACAGAAACCAAGGUGCAGCGUCUCUGUAAUAUCGCCAACAUAUCCGGUACGCGGUGGCAGGCUUGCCGAGCACGAAAUGAAGGGGGGGUCGCAUCUCACCAUUCAACUAAGCAUGCAUGUGCUCGGUUGAAUGCUCGGUAGCGUGCGAGUUUACCCCUAUCAGGAUGUUUGUUUGCAUAUCCCUCCAAGCGAGAGGGCUUGGACCUAUGCUGAUGUUCGUUCCAAGAAGUGAACUGAGGACUGAUGCUACGGUAACGCCCUGUAACUCGCUUACGCUAAUCUCACAUUCCAAUAUGCCACUGCACUUUCCUCUCCAGCCUGGCCACAUUCUCUUCCUUGCAAACGUACUUGGGCACCUUACAAUCCAACACCACACGGGCUUUGGAAACGCGGGCAGCUGCUUCACAAGGACCCCCCUAUUUUGUAAAUCAGGGUCCUAUUGUAAGUACGUAACAGGCUGGAGCGAAGGCUGUAACCCCAAAAUGUUAGCGCGUAAUAUCGGCGAGAGCCGACAGGUUACAGGACGAAUUCGCUCCAUCAAGGUCUGGGCUCUUUUCUAACCUAAGUAACGAGCAUUAGAAGUGUAGGCUUCUAGGACCUCUCUCACUGGUGUAUCAUUAGAUAUCUAACCCAGGCUUCCCCCCGAGUAAAAAUACUCGUUGCUUAGGAGGCAACGAGUCUAGAGAUCUCUUCCGAUCUACAUCGGUUGCUCGAACCGAUGUGUAUGUAGGUAUCUCAAGUGCGUGCCAUUCCUUGGUUAGGAAACACUCCUAAACUCCAAGAUAUUCGUAGACUGUUCUUAAAUCAGUCUAAUCGAGUCGUGUCUUAAUCACACAGCGAUUAAGGUCUGUAACGCUCCAACGCGCUACAACAACAUGAGGCCAGCUGCAACAGUCGCUGGCAACUAGGGAUGUGAGUUUCAGCUGAAUUGGGAUUUGGCAACCUUAAUUACGUAAGCUUAAAAGCGUAAUAUAGUAAAUUACUGUAAUUUACGGUUUCCACGGCCUGGACCCUGGACCCUUAAUUUAAGGUUGCCGUAUUAGUGUACGAUUUUGGAUUUUCAGCACAAUUUCAGCGUUUUCACAUUCGCAACACCAUUCUUUACUUAUUUACAUAUUUUUAACAGCGCGAGAAGGCGCCCAUCACGCAGCUGGACUGGGAGGAGUUCAUUCGGUGGAUGGAGGCCCAGCCGGGCCUGGAGCUGCCGGAGCAGUAAACGAUUUCAGUCCUGGCAGCUUCCCUUCCUCAGUACCGGCUGUUUUUGCUUGUUGGCUCAGCAUGAUGGGCUCAUGGUUGGGCCCAUGGGGAUUUCGUUAAGCAUUGAAAGCCGUGCAUACAUACUCGACCACGACACCUAAUACCGUUGCAAACCAGGACUACUUGUCGUGUUGACUACUUGACUUGCUCUUUUGCUUGGUUGGGCGGAGGGAAUCGCGGGUUUCAACCUGCAUUGUUGGACUCUUUCACGCUUCCCCCAUGGCUGGGUUUGUGGUGUGUUCGGAGGAGUGGACGGGUCAGCGGCACCCUGGUUUGCAGACCGGCGGAACCUGUAAGACCCAUGGGUCUGUUAAGCUUUUAAGGUUUCUACCCCUCCUGAGGGACCUUAUUACGGCGAGCCCUUAAUUCUGUAAAUUACGGCCAGGUCCAAUCUUAAUUCGUAAUUACGUAACCUUAAUUCCUUAAAACGUAAAAACGUAAAACGUAAAUUCGCAUCCCUACUGGCAACGUUACUCCGCAAGCUGCUCCGGUCACCGGCAUUGUUAUGCGGCCUGCGGUUCUGCAACCAACACAUCCAGUACACCCCAUGGUUCCCCCACUGCUACACCCACAUAACGCCUCGUAUGCUGCAGCGAUCAGCACGAUUCCUCAGCCUGCCAUUCAAAUGGCGCUGUUACGGGACCUUUCUGCCCAGCCUUCUGACAAAGCUCUACAGGCACGAUUCUCUCAGCUCUUUCAGGAGGCUGGCAUUGCACUUGGGGUCGGAGUGUCACCAUCCUCUACACCCCUUAUAGCGCAGGCGCAGCUCAUUGGACAGUGGCAACAGCAGCAGUUCCUGCAACAGCUGCAUGUACAGCAACAGUUGCAGCAGUUUGGCGUCAUGAUGCCGCCACCGCCGCCGCCACCGCCUCCUGCCCCUUCUAUUCCCCCAGCUGCCCCUCCACCCGUUGUCACGUAUGGGGCUGCACCGUGCCAAGGUGUGGCUCACCGUGGAAACGGGGUGUAUGGCGCGGAUAACAGCGAUGACAGCGAUUAUGAGCCACAUACGGAUUCGGGGUCUAAGGAGGAUGAGCUGGAGUACGAUGAGUGUGACCCAAGGGCCGAGAAGAAGGUGUUCUGCACCUUGCAUAAACAGCUUACGGAUUUCCGGACGCUGGUGGGCCUGCACUUCAUUUGUGAUGUGCUGGUGCAGACAGAUGGUGUGUUCAAGCUAAUGCAAGCCCAGCAAUUUAAGGAUUCUGAUGUUGCUGGGACUAUUGCGGCAGUGCAGCACUCUCUGCGGAAGAGCUUCAUAGAUGUGCCGCCAGGGCAGCACACAACUCCUGCCCUGAAGUCCUUUUGGCAGCUUAUGGCGACGACGGGGUGCAAAUCCUUUCAUGGUCACCCCGUGUCGAAUGUCCCUGAGUCACCAGAGAGCAUCAUGCACGACCUCUUCAAGGAGUUCACCGAGAAUCUCAUCAAAUAUCUCGAUCGACGGUUCCCUAACAGCACCUUCUUGUCGGCACUGGCCCUGUUUAAUCUGAUCGAGUACCCGGAUAAUGUGGACGAUUGGGGUGAGGACGCGUCCGAAGCACUGAGGGGCUAUUUCACGGUGCGCCUGAAGGAGAAGAAGCACAUGCAUGAUUGCCAUCCACAAAUCGAUUUCGAGGAGGCCAAGUUGCAGCUGUCCAUGUUUAAGCAUGAGAUGUGGAAGUUGCAGCCAGCUGCUGUGAAGGAUCGGGAGGCAUUCUUGAAGUCUUACGUGGAGCAGCAGCAGGUGCUGUCACAGCUCCUUGGGUGUGAGGAGGUGUUCAGUGUUGGUGAUGAUCGCUAUGAGGGUGCUGAUGCCGCGGAGGGGCUGAUGGAGCGCGUGCGCAAGCCAGCGAUACACCACAUUAAUCUUAUGAUGCCAAGCUUGCACGAAAGCAGCACCUGUUCUCGGAGAUGUCGGAGCGCGCUAAUCUGUGUGCAAACUAAGCCAAAUUUGUUUUAGGUUUAUUGACCGAAAUUAUGCCCUCCCGCAGCCGUAGAAACCGAUUUGCCGACCUCUGCUGCAAGUCAUAGACAUUCCCG